AGAUGAACGGGUCAUAGAAAAAGAAACGGUACAGCAAAGUGUUUUAUGCACCAUGUGAAGUGGAUGAGCUCCAUCAAUACAAAUACACCGUCCACACACACGUUUACUUUAAAGGCUCAUUUCUAUAUUCUAGAUAGCUUCACUGUAAACAUAGACAGGUGACAUCAGGAUUUCUCCAUGUUCCGUGUUCCAUGUUCCGUGUUCCAUGUUCCAUGCUCCAUGUUCCAUGCUCCAUGUUCCGUGUUCUAUGCUCCAUGUUCCGUGUUCUAUGCUCCAUUCACCACAGCAUUAGAAACACAGUCUGAGGCACAUUUAGUCAGUUAGUUUCAAACUUCACAUCUACACACACUGAAGUUUUCCGGACAGAAACCUGCAGAAAGCGAUCGUGACGCCUCAGGAGUCUGAAGAGGAGAUGAAGACGCGUUCUGCUGCACUCAACAGAGCUCGAGACCAACAGGACGCCAUCAGGACGCCAUCAGGACGCCAUCAGGACGUCAUCAGGACGCCAUCAGGACGCCAUGUCAUCAGGACGCCAUCAGGACGCCAUCAGGACGCCAUGUCAUCAGGACGCCAUCAGGGCGCCAUCAGGACGCCAUCAGGACGCCAUCAGGACGCCAUCAGGACGUCAUCAGGACGCCAUCAGGACGCCAUGUCAUCAGGACGCCAUCAGGACGCCAUCAGGACGUGCUGAGAGUCGCCCCCUCAGGAGCAGCUCCAGAUCUACGCAUGACUCAGAUAAGCGGACAACACACACACACACACACACACACACACGUACUCAGAGACAAACUAACAUGUAGAUGUACACAAAGACACACUAAUCUGUAGAUGCUAAGCAAACGCUUUAAGCCACUGAGGCAUUUUGUCCAGAAACCCUCGUUGACGCGCCGCUGUUGUCUCAUGACGGAUGAAUGAGAGUCCUGUAGCCUUUGUGUUGUUGUAAACAAGUCCACUUAUUUGCCAAUUUUACACAUAUGUAUACAUACAUAUAUAUACAUAUGUACACAUAUACAGAUUAAUAUUUAGAUGUACACAUAGACACAUUAAUAUUGAGAUGUACACAUAGAUCAUUAAUAUUGAGAUGUACACAUAGAUCAUUAAUAUUGAGAUGUACACAUAUACACAUUAAUAUUGAGAUGUACACAUAUACACAUUCAUAUUUAGAUGUAUACAUAGACACAUUAAUAUUGAGAUGUAUGCAUAGAUCAUUAAUAUUGAGAUGUACACAUAGAUCAUUAAUAUUGAGAUGUACACAUAGACACAUUAACAUUUAGAUGUACACAUAGAUCAUUAAUAUUGAGAUGUACACAUAGACACAUUAAUAUUGAGAUGUACACAUAGACACAUUAAUAUUGAGAUGUACACAUAGAUAAUUAAUAUUGAGAUGUACACAUAUACACAUUAAUAUUGAGAUGUACACAUAGAUCAUUAAUAUUGAGAUGUACACAUAGAUCAUUAAUAUUGAGAUGUACACAUAGACACAUUAACAUUUAGAUGUACACAUAGACACAUUAAUAUUGAGAUGUACACAUAGAUCAUUAAUAUUGAGAUGUACACAUAGAUAAUUAAUAUUGAGAUGUACACAUAGACACAUUAAUAUUGAGAUGUACACAUAGAUCAUUAAUAUUGAGAUGUACACAUAUACACAUUAAUAUUGAGAUGUACACAUAGACACAUUAAUAUUGAGAUGUAUACAUAGACACACUACCUGUAAGAGCCGAUUUAUGAUGUAUGGCAGCAUCUGAUUGAUGGGCGGGUCAGCCUAUAUACGAUAGGAACCUUUGGGGGCUCGGCAGGUGUUUCUAGCCGGUAUAAGAAAAUCAGUUUUGACUUUGAACGUAGAGACUAAGCAAACGCUUUAAGCCACUGAGGCAUUUUUUCCGGAAACCCUCAUUGACGCGCGGCUGUUGUCUCAUGACGGAUGAAUUAGAGUCCUGUAGCCUUUUUGUUGUUGUAAACAAGUCCACUUAUUUGCCAAUUUUAGUCCUGUCACACGUUUACCAUACAUCAUGGAUACAUGGGAGUGUGGAGGGGGAGACAGAGGAGUGAUUAAAUAGAUAAAUGAGAUGUGUUGAGAAAUGCACUUUAAGAAAUAAGUUUUGGAAGUAUGUUCUAAGGAGGGCAGACAGACCUAAUAAUUGAGUCUGAGAGGUUAACAUAAACUCACAGACGCAUUAACUCCGGAAGGUUAGUAUAAACUUUCGGCAUAAAUUAAUUCUGCGAGGCUAACAUAAGCUCGUGGACACAAACAUUUUCUCUGAAAGGUUAGUAUAAACUUUCAGCAUAAAUGAAUUCUGCGAGGCUAACAUAAGCUCGUGGACACAAACAUUUUCUCUGAAAGGUUAGUAUAAACUUUCGGCAUAAAUUAAUUCUGCGAGGCUAACAUAAGCUCGUGGACACAAACAUUUUCUCUGAAAGGUUAGUAUAAACUUUCAGCAUAAAUUAAUUCUGCGAGGCUAACAUAAGCUCGUGGACACAAACAUUUUCUCUGAAAGGUUAGUAUAAACUUUCAGCAUAAAUUAAUUCUGCGAGGCUAACAUAAGCUCGUGGACACAAACAUUUUCUCUGAAAGGUUAGUAUAAACUUUUCAGAACAUAGCUGUCUGCCCGGGUAAAAUACAUACGAAACUGGUUGACUGUUGUUAAAUGGAAGGUGAAUUUGAUGAAGAAGAGGAGGACGGGCGGCUGGGAGCCGG
ensembl:lncRNA